rnacentral:rRNA from 1 species
GUGGGGAAUAUUGGACAAUGGGGGCAACCCUGAUCCAGCCAUGCCGCGUGAAUGAUGAAGGCCUUCGGGUUGUAAAGUUCUUUUGGAGGGGACGAUGAUGACGGUACCCUCAGAAUAAGCUCCGGCUAACUUCGUGCCAGCAGCCGCGGUAAUACGAAGGGAGCUAGCGUUGUUCGGAAUUACUGGGCGUAAAGGGCGCGUAGGCGGUUUGGUUAGUCAGAUGUGAAAGCCCAGGGCUUAACCCUGGAACUGCGUUUGAUACUGCCAAGCUUGAAUUCGGGAGAGGUGAGUGGAAUUCCCAGUGUAGAGGUGAAAAUCGUAGAUAUUGGGAAGAACACCGGUGGCGAAGGCGGCUCACUGGACCGACAUUGACGCUGAGGCGCGAAAGCGUGGGGAGCAAACAGGAUUAGAAACCCCAGUAGUCC